UUACGACCAUAUAGCGUCGAAAAACCGGUUCCCGUACAAUCAGCGAAGUUAAGCAACGUUGAGCCUCGUCAGUACCUUGAUGGUUGACUGCUUGGGAAUGCCAGGUAAUGUAAG